rnacentral:rRNA from 1 species
CCUACGGGUUGCAGCAGUGGGGAAUAUUGCACAAUGGGCGCAAGCCUGAUGCAGCCAUGCCGCGUGUAUGAAGAAGGCCUUCGGGUUGUAAAGUACUUUCAGCGGGGAGGAGGGUGUUGUGGUUAAUAACCGCAGCAAUUGACGUUACCCGCAGAAGAAGCGCCGGCUAACUCCGUGCCAGCAGCCGCGGUAAUACGGAGGGUGCAAGCGUUAAUCGGAAUUACUGGGCGUAAAGCGCACGCAGGCGGUUGAUUAAGUUAGAUGUGAAAUCCCCGGGCUUAACCUGGGAAUGGCAUCUAAGACUGGUCAGCUAGAGUCUUGUAGAGGGGGGUAGAAUUCCAUGUGUAGCGGUGAAAUGCGUAGAGAUGUGGAGGAAUACCGGUGGCGAAGGCGGCCCCCUGGACAAAGACUGACGCUCAGGUGCGAAAGCGUGGGGAGCAAACAGGAUUAGAUACCCGCGUAGUC